rnacentral:lncRNA from 1 species
GUGUUUGGAGCAGUUCUGCUAGAGGAGGAAACAGCACAAAGGGCACUCUUAUGCUGCUGUAAACCAGUGCCAGGAUUUUUAAAAUGUGAGACACCUGUUACCCUGUGCCCAGAUUUCAUAUUGUUCAAACACACAUGCUCUACAUACAAUUUGUGCAGUUAAUGCAAUCAUCACAAGGUCCUAGGCCGACCUACAGCCUCAGCUUACGAAGAUGACAAGAUUAAGAGAUUAAAGUAAAGACAGGCAUAAGAAAUCAAAAGAGUAUUGAUUAAGGAAGUGAGAGUGUGAAGAGGAGGAGAAAGGCUGAAGAGGAGGAGAAAGGCUAAGAUCUUUUCCAAUGCAAAAUUAGGAAAAAAUAUACUACAGAUUUAUGAAAAAAUAAGAAGUGAAAGUAUUCUCUGACUGCAAGUAUGACCACCUGUCUUUCUAUAUCAGAACCCAAGCUAAAAGACUGCAUUUACUACCCUUCCUUGCUAACAAGAGUGACUACGUGACUAUGUUCUGGCCAAUGCAAACAGCCUGAAAAGCUGAUGUAAUGACUGGAUCUUCAGCAGCCACCUUGAGCAAGAGGUAGAAGCUAGAGGCUGAGGAAUGAUGGAGCAGAAAGGAAGGAGCUGGGGUUCCUAUUAACAUCCUGAAGCUACACUAUCAGGCCUGGACUGACCAACUCUUUCUGGCCUUCUUUUACAAGAGAAAAAUACAGUUAUUUAAACCACUAUACUUCUGUUUUCUUUUUUGGGGUAUAGAUAACUGAACCUAAUCCUGUCCCAAAUCCUGAUCCUAUCUAACCAGUGUUAGCUAUCAGCCCAUACGUAUACUGGAGAAUGACGUUUAACAAAAUAAGAUGUUAAAGUUCUAACUAAUUGUAAUAAUCAUGCAGUUUUCUCAUGCUGAACAAAGUUAAAGAAAUAUAAUGUGUGUUUCCUAAAGAGUGUCAUUUUUUGGAAAGAUAACAUGGGGCACAAAGUAACAUAAAAAUCUACAUAUAAUUAUGUAAACAUUGCUUUGACAUACAACACCAAAUAUUUUUAUUGUAUUUGUGAAUGCAUUUCUUGGUAAUAAAACGGCAGUUAUGAAUAAGUGAUACUUGGAAAGCUAUAACAUAAUGGGAGGAGAAGGUAUUAACACUGUGAUUUUAUGGGGUUGAAUCAGUUUUAGUUUCUUAUACAACUCAGAGCUUUACGUUAUUUAGACUGUCUAAACACUGGCGCAAGGUAGCAUUUUACUUAUCAAAACACUGGAGGAGGCAGUCUAUUUUAUGUGGGAAUAAUAGCUUUUUAACAGUGUUCGAUUAGGAGACAUUAGGAACCUUGCCUUGAAAACCAUUAGCAAAUUUAUCUAGAAGAUUUUACGUUACAUCUUAAAACAACCAGCUGCUAAGGACAUCCUAAACUGCUUAGUAUGCCAAUUUGCCUCAGAUGCUUGCCAUAUAAGCUGCUUUCAGGAGUCAGCAAUGAGUAUCAUAGAUACUUGAGGAUAAAAGGUUGAAGGAUAUUGGCAUUCAAAGAUGAAGCCAGAAACCCUGUACAGCCAAAAAAAUUAAACUUGCAUUUUACUUUGGAGUGAAAUGUCUUUGCUAUUUCCAAAGUUUUUAACUUUUGGGUUCUCAACUAGCCCUAGCAAUAUAAGGGCCUGACUAAUGACUCUUCCCAACAUUGUCAAACUUAAUUCAAACUUGAAAUCAAUCCCCUUUUUUUUCCUCCUAAAGCAAAGUAACUCACAAUAAUAAUAUGAGUACAUGUGAAUGGCCAAUUUAGAAGUUUAAGUCAUUCUUUUGUAAUCAGUACUAGAAUUAACUAGUGAUUUUUUUUUUUGGCAAGGAAUAACAAAAUAAUAGAAACUCCAUAUAUAUUAGAAAAAGAUCUGUAAGUUUGAGCCUUAUAUAUUAUUACAAUGUGGCAAUCAAGAGGAAAACUCAAGACAACUGUGCGCUGUGCUUGUCCUGUUUUGUUCAAACCACGAUAAUUUUAAAUAAAUAGUAAUGUUCAACAUUCACUGAUGACAUUAUCUAUCAACCACAUCACACCUGGAACACAGUAGAUAAUAAAUGGCAGCUGUUAUACCUUCCUUCUUGAAACAAAAUCCUGUCAUUUCAUUCUCAUUUUAACUUUGUGUUAAGCUUCUACAAUCCAUAAAAAUGAUAAAACAAUAAAAUGGUCCAACAUUAUCUAGUCCAGUCUUAUUUUUACAAAACAUUGACUUUAAAAGUCCCUGAGAUUUUAAUUUUACUGGUUUAAUCUGUCUUCCCUACCCUUGUUUAAAAAAAAAUAGAAUCAUGUGUCAUUAUUGGUUGAGUACCCG